UUUAUGGAGAGUUUGAUCCUGGCUCAGGAUGAACGCUGGCGGCGUGCCUAAUACAUGCAAGUCGAGCGAACAGAUGAGAAGCUUGCUUCUCUG
rnacentral:rRNA from 1 species